rnacentral:rRNA from 1 species
UACGGAGGAUGCGAGCGUUAUCCGGAUUUAUUGGGUUUAAAGGGUGCGUAGGCGGACUGUCAAGUCAGCGGUAAAAUUGAGAGGCUCAACCUCUUCCCGCCGUUGAAACUGGUGGUCUUGAGUGGAUGAGAAGUACGCGGAAUGCGUGGUGUAGCGGUGAAAUGCAUAGAUAUCACGCAGAACUCCGAUUGCGAAUGCAGCGUACCGGCAUCCAACUGACGCUGAGGCACGAAAGCGUGGGGAUCAAACAGG